rnacentral:rRNA from 1 species
CUGGUUGAUCCAGUCCGUUGUCCAUAACCUUGUAUCAAAGGUUAAGCCAUGCAUGUCUAAACAUACGCAAAUUAUACUGUGAAACUGCGAAUGGCUCAUUCAAUCAGUUAUUGUUUUUUUGAUGUUUCUUGGUACCUGGCAGACUGUGGUAAUUUUAGAGUUAAUACCUGGGUAAAAAGCCCCGAAUUCUGGAAGGGGUGUUUUUAUUAGGUUAAAACCAUCCUCCUCGGAGUUUGGUGAUUCCUAAUAAAUUCUCGAAUUGCACGGCCUUGUGCCGGCGAUGCUUCAUUCAAAUAUUUGCCCUAUCAACUUUCGAUGGUAGGAUAGAGGCCUACCAAGGUUGGAACGGGUAACGGGGAAUAAGGGUUUGAUUCCGGAGAGGGAGCCUGAGAAACGGCUACCACAUCCAAGGAAGGCAGCAGGCGGGCAAAUUACCCAAUCCCGACACGGGGAGGGAGUGACAAUAAAUAACAAUACCGGGCGCUUCGGGUUUGGUAAUUGGAAAGAGUACAAUCUAAAUCCCUUAACGAGGA